rnacentral:rRNA from 1 species
CACGUAGGGGGCGAGCGUUGUUCGGAAUUACUGGGCGUAAAGGGCAUGUAGGCGGCCUUGUAAGCCCGGCGUGGAAGCCCACGGCUCAACCGUGGGAUUGCGCUGGGAACUGCGAGGCUUGAAUCAUGGAGAGGGAGCUAGAAUUCCUGGUGUAGGGGUGAAAUCUGUAGAGAUCAGGAAGAAUACCAGUGGCGAAGGCGAGCUCCUGGCCAAUGAUUGACGCUGAGGUGCGAAAGUGUGGGGAU